GAUGAAGAACGCAGCGAAAUGCGAUAAGUAGUGUGAAUUGCAGAAUUCAGUGAAUCAUCGAAUCUUUGAACGCACAUUGCGCCCCUUGGUAUUCCAUGGGGCAUGCCUGUUCGAGCGUCAUUUGUACCUUCAAGCUUUGCUUGGUGUUGGGUGUUUGUCCUGAGGGACUCGCCUUAAAGUAAUUGGCAGCCAGUGUUUUGGUUUUGAAGCGCAGCACAAGUCGCGAUUCAAAGCUAUACGCCAGCUUCCACAAGCCUUUUUCACUUUUGACCUCGGAUCAGGUAGGGAUACCCGCUGAACUUAAGCAUAUCAAUAAGCGGAGGGA
rnacentral:misc_RNA from 1 species